ACAAAUACAAGACCUGCUCUGGCCUCAAG
rnacentral:piRNA from 1 species